AACGAACGCUGGCGGUAUGCUUAACACAUGCAAGUCGAACGAGGUCUAGAAAGCUUGCUUUCGAAAACCUAGUGGCAAACGGGUGAGUAAUGCAGAGGAAUCUACCUAGCAGUAAGGAAUAACCCUGGGAAACCAGAGCUAAUACCAUAUAUUACCGAUUUAUCGGGAAAGAUUUAUCGCUGUUAGAUGAGCCUCUGUCGGAUUAGCUUGUUGGUGAGGUAAGAGCUCACCAAGGCGAUGAUCCGUAGCUGGUCUGAGAGGAUGAUCAGCCACACUGGAACUUAGACACGGUCCAG
rnacentral:rRNA from 1 species